UUCCGGUUUCCAUAAUGAUCGUUUGUUCCGGUACGGUAACCUGCGGAACGAUCAUU
rnacentral:rRNA from 1 species